rnacentral:lncRNA from 1 species
GAAUAGUUUGGUUCGUUUAUAGGUCUACUCGUACUUGCUCCUCAACCUCUACUAGUUUCACAGCAUCGGCACUCACCACCUGUGAUCUCGUCAUCCUGAGAUCCUACGAAAGAAUCCUUCCAUUGGAGUUUGUCCUUACUCUGAUACUAAUUGUUAGGUAUUAAUCUAACAUAUCUGAUAGUUACAGAAAUUUAGUAGAAAGGGAAGGGCGUUUGAGAGAAGAAAAGAGAGAGAAUAAAAAGAAUUAAAGAGAGCGAG